rnacentral:sRNA from 1 species
AGUAUUCUGGUAGAGCUCUCACUGGAUUGAAGUCCAAAAAACAGGUAUCAUCCUGUGGUCCAAAGCUCUGAAGAAGAAAUAAAGAUGAAGUGAGUUUUUC